rnacentral:tRNA from 1 species
GGCCGGUUAGCUCAGUGGAUAGAGCGCCGGCCGGCAGACUGAAGGGUCCCGGGUUCGAUUCCCGGUCAGGGCA